rnacentral:tRNA from 2 species
CGGAACGUAGCGCAGCCUGGUAGCGCACCGUCAUGGGGUGUCGGGGGUCGGAGGUUCAAAUCCUCUCGUUCCGA